AAGUAUGUGAAAGAUUAAAGUCAAAGUAAAUAUGGAUUUAGAAUAGUAGUUAUAUUUUACUAACCAAAAUACCGAAAAAACCCGAACCGAACCGAAACCAAUCUGAUAUCUGGAUUGAACACCCCUAAUCCAAAUGAAGCCAAACUAUUGUUUCAUUCUCCAAAAUAUAAUAAAAAUAAUAACUUAAUUCCGCGCAAUAUCUUAUCCUUGUUCGUUAGUAUUUGAUUUUUAGAUUUGAAAUUAAAAAAAAAAAUGAAAUUGUACAAACUGGAGAAUCUUGUAAAAAAGGGAAAUACAAGCUCGCUGCAGUAACAUAUUUUAGAAGUACAUGUACAUCGGGCAGAAGCGGGCCCGAAGUUCAUCUUAUCAUAUAAUAGCGUGGAGACGUUAUAUCAAUUCACUUUUUUUAGUUUUGACAACGGGCCCGGAUACAGCAAGUUGCACAUCCAAGGGGCCACAAUGGAUUCAUUGCACAUCAGGUCUUUAUUUUACCUUUUUUUUAUAACAUCUUAUCUUUAUUAUUAUCAAAAGAAGAUUAAGAGAGUACAUGAAUCCAAACAUACAACAAAUACAUUUUUAAAUAAAACAUGAUAAUAGAAAAGUAAUAACACGAUGCUUCCUAACUCUUGUGCAGGAUAGACUGAUUCGCUAACUUUAUCUAUUUUUGUUCUCGGUCUUAUAUGAUCUUGUGUUCGGCUAUCAUUUAUUGUGAUCCAACGCCUUUUGUCAUUUAACAGAUCAAUGGGUGCGAUCCAUCUGUUACAUCGCUGCCCAUUCCAUACACUCCCGCUCCAGGAGAUAACAUGAUUUGUUGUAGUCUCUAUCCAUAUCAUAAAUAAUCCCUCAAACUGACAAAGAUAAGCACUUAACUCCAUCGUCUCCCACUCCAUGUCUUCACAUAAACAUGACGUAUUUCCUCUUGUUGUCAAAUAGAGAUUAAACACAUCUCUCUGAAUUAAUGGAGUCACCAUCGUCCAUGUCAGAAUGUCAAAAUAACAUGACGUACACAAUCUUCUCCAUGGCCAUGGUGGUUUAAGAUUCCUUUUUUUGUUCCAUAGGACUAGUAAUCCUUCCAAAGAAUUUUCUGGAUGGAAAAGACCACCAUGUCUAACAAGCCAUGGAAAUACACGGACAAUACAAAACCACCAUGGUUUGAUUGUUGGGAGAUUGCACUCAACAAUAAUGGAGAUAAUAGACUCACCUAUGAGGGAGAAAAAAGACUCGUCAAAGCUCUGAUCCAAACUUCCUAACUGCUCAACGAACCAGUGGAGAAACAGAAAACUGUUUGCCCAUGACGAAGACAUGCGACGGCACCAGGAAGAGGAGAGAUGGUGUGACGAUAGAUCACGUCGCUUGAUUAAACUAAGCAACGACAAUGAAUUUAUUUGAACUAAAAGCUUAAGAAACAUAUAAACAAUAAUAUAACAAGAGUACGAACCGACGCCGGAGCCGACGCCGGCCGGGGAUUGUUGUAGAGAAACUGUUGUUUGUUUUCGCCUUUUGUGUCGCUUGCGAGAGAGAAACAGUUAUUUGAUUGCGUAAUAUAUUUUAUUUUACCUUUCUUUCUUCUUUUUGCUAAAGUCUUUACUUUUACCCCUUGCUUUUACUAAAAACGCUUUUUUAUAGUUUCGUCAUUUAACACGAAACUGAGGAUGGGAUAUUACUUUUCAAAGAUAUUUUGAGUUAGAAUUAUGAGUUAUUCAAGUUUGGAAUUAAGAUAUUAUUUUUCAAAGAUAUUUAACAUGAAACUGAGGAUGGGAUAUUAUUUUUCAGAGAUAUUAUUUUUCAAAGAUAUUAUUUUAACAUGAAACUGAGGAUGAGAUAUUAUUUUCAGAGAUAUUUUGAGUUAGAAUUAUGAAUUAUUCAAGUUUGUAAUCAAGUUGAAAGUGACAUUGAUAUUUCAAUACAUUAUCACAAUUUUAAUAAGGUAGCUGUAGUUUGGAUAUCUCUAUAAUCACCUUGACUGGUAAACCAGAAAUAAAUCCAUAGGAGAUUGGAGUAUAAAGAAUUCGAGUUUUCUAGUCAUAGAGUUGAAGACGCAUGUCUUUCACUUUCACUUGAUGGAAAUAUUUUGGAUACAUAAGUUUGUGAACAUCGGUUGUAUAUACAUAUAAUUUUUUUGUUAAAUCAUCGCUAGCUUUUUAUUGAUUUAUUUGAUUCAGAAGCAAAACAUAUAGACAAUUAGACAUUAAUCGUUAUUCAAAAAUCAAAACCAAAAGCAAAGCUUCUAUACAGUUUGCUUUAAUCUAACCAAAAUUUUCAUUUUUUCAUUUUCUUAACUUUUGUCUUCAUGUAAAAUAGAACGAUGAUCACUCUUUUUUUUACUGUAAAUUAUUACGCUAUCCUAAAAUACGAAUAUCCCGGCGGAGAAACUCUGUUCGCCGGCAUAUGGAGAGCUCAAAACGUCGACGUUUCUCAAAACUUGCUGUUUAGAUUGCUCCUUUCGCUCGUCGUUCAUUAUCUGCACUGAUCUACACUCUGCACUGCAGAAUCCCAUCUCUCCUCUGCACACAACCCAA